rnacentral:rRNA from 1 species
AGAAAGCUCCCUUCGGGGAGCCGGUACAGUGGCGCACGGGUGAGUAACACGUGGGUAAUCUGUCCUCGAGUGGGGAACAACCCAGGGAAACUUGGGCUAAUACCGCAUAACAUCCCGACCUCUCCGGAGGAUGGGAUCAAAGCUGGGGAUCGCAAGACCUGGCGCUUGAGGAGGAGCCUGCGGCUGAUUAGCUUGUUGGUGGGGUAACGGCCUACCAAGGCGACGAUCAGUAGCCGGCCUGAGAGGGUGAUCGGCCACACUGGAACUGAGACACGGUCCAGACUCCUACGGGAGGCAGCAGUGAGGAAUUUUGCGCAAUGGGCGAAAGCCUGACGCAGCAAUGCCGCGUGGAUGAUGAAGGCCUUCGGGUCGUAAAAUCCUGUCAAGUGGGAAGAAACCCCCUCCGUCAAUAGCGGCAGGGGGGUGACUGUACCACUGGAGGAAGCCCCGGCUAACUCCGUGCCAGCAGCCGCGGUAAUACGGAGGGGGCAAGCGUUGUUCGGAAUUAUUGGGCGUAAAGGGCGCGUAGGCGGCACUGUAAGUCGGUUGUGAAAUCCCUUGGCUCAACCAAGGAACUGCAACCGAAACUACAGAGCUAGAGUCCGGGAGAGGGUAGUGGAAUUCCCAGUGUAGCGGUGAAAUGCGUAGAUAUUGGGAGGAACACCAGUGGCGAAGGCGGCUACCUGGACCGGUACUGACGCUGAGGCGCGAAAGCUAGGGGAGCAAACAGGAUUAGAUACCCUGGUAGUCCU